rnacentral:lncRNA from 10 species
AGUGACCCCUACUGCUCAUUACGGGAGUGAAGAAAGCCUAGAGCGAAAUCAGGAAAACAACGUGCUGAUUCCUGAGCCUCAGAAAACUGAGAAGUAGGCAGGGCUAUACCAUUUUCUCUGCACUUUAUGAGCAUAAUAAUUCUUCAAAGGACUGGCUGCAUCUACAAAUACCUACUAAAUGGAAACCGUCAAAUCAAAUGGGAGGCUCACAGCAGAUGCCAACUCCACCGAGCGGAUCUGGGCCAGGGUGAAGAAACGGAACUGCAGAGAGGUUAAGCCACCUGGGGCAGGAACUAGGAUGGAAAUCCAGGCAGUCUUGUUGCUGAGACCAUCUCCAUAAUCCUCUGCUAAACUUCUUCCUACCGAGAAAGACAUGUUCUGGGAGAGCAAGGGCUAAGAGGCUGCUCCUUGAUUCCCCCUGAGUGCCCGCCCUCCAGCCCUCACUCCAGUGAGGGGCCUGACCUGAAACAGCUGUCUGCCCUUGCCAGGCUCAGAGGAUUUCUUUGUGAGAAAGAUGGAGAAAGGUGAACUUGAUGAUGCUGUAUAAAAGGACACACACUGUCUGCGAGUCAGGAAUACAGAUGUUCUCUCUACAGACUGCUCUCUUCCGGGAGAUGCCUGUGUUCAUUCCCCUUGGUAUGAGCCUCAAGCACCCUUCAAGCCAUCCAUAAGGUGGAUUUGUGAAUGGAAGUGGGUAGGGCUAACAUGGGCAGGAGGAGAGAGCUGAAGAAAGCUGAGUGGAGAAUGAGGAAUAUAUCUGCUAGGACAUCCA